rnacentral:rRNA from 1 species
UACGAAGGGGGCUAGCGUUGUUCGGAAUUACUGGGCGUAAAGCGCGCGCAGGCGGCUAUCCAAGUCAGUGGUGAAAGCCCGGAGCUUAACUCCGGAACUGCCAUUGAAACUGUUUAGCUUGAGUAUGAGAGAGGUGAGUGGAAUUCCCAGUGUAGAGGUGAAAUUCGUAGAUAUUGGGAAGAACACCAGUGGCGAAGGCGGCACCCUGGACCGGCACUGACACUGAGGCACGAAAGCGUGGGGAGCAAACAGG